rfam:Brachypodium distachyon strain Bd21 chromosome 3, whole genome shotgun sequence.
AGCAAAAUGAGGAGGUCAUACCAUCUGAAAAUAUACUACUGUGGAUAGUACCUAUAUGGUCUUCAAAGUUCUCUGAUUGCU